AUGAAAAUGAUGGGAGAAACUUCACUGAAGUUCCAGGAGUGUGUAGGUAUGAUCAAUUUGCUUAGAAUCCUUCUAGAUCUAUCUAACCAUCUCCAUCUAUAUUGUGAGAUUCAAGACUUUACACAGAGCGAAUUGGAAGCUUUGAGGACUGGUAGAUGCAUACAGAAGCUUUGUUAUAACAUGUUGAUGAAAGGAUGA